CUAGGGGAGCAUGUACUCUAUUCCAUCAUCCCCGUCACUGAAGAACAUGUUUAGUAGUCCUGGGCACGGGGCUGAGCCCAGUGAGACACCACAUGGUCCUGCCAAAGUAUGCUGAUACCAAGAGAAAAUAAAAAGAAAAUUACACUUCUUAGCUGGAAGAUCUUCAGUGCUAAAAGGAAGUGACGGUGAACGCCAUCAGGAGCUUCGGAAGAGGUGGGGACACUGUACACCACAGGGACAGCAGGCAGUGUGGACGUCCUUUAGAUCCCAUGGCUCCUGGAAGGUGGAG